AAGGUCUUAAGUUAAAAAACUAGUAACCUUCAAAGUUUCCAAUAAGAGAUAAAUCUCUUAAACCUUA
rnacentral:tRNA from 1 species